CAAGUUGCCAUUUGAACGUGUGUCCAUGGCAGAGUGCAUUAUGGGUAGCCAUAAAUCAUCCAUGUUUGGCAUCACAAAUAUUUUCUGUGGAAGGACAAGCGCAGCAUCAAAGGUUUACCUGGAAUUCCUGAUCCAGUUUCUUCUCGAUCCAGUCGGUCACGUGAACUAAAGUCACCUCCCUCUCGCCGAGUUUAGGCCGUGCUUUCAGCUCGAGAUGGCGCUGAGUCUUCAAUGCUCUCCUACCAUAUCCUGUCCGUGGGGGGAGGUGGGAUGUUCACAGCCAGGGUCCCUCGCAGCUCUUGCACCUCCACGGUGAGCAGCAGGGGCGUGUUGGACACCUCCUCCAUCUUCUUCUUGAUGAACUCCGUCUCGGUGGCUUUCUGGAAGUAUUUCGACUUGGCUAUCUUGUCCACAAAGCGCAUGAUCUUGCUGGGCCUGUGGCCUCCCACGUAGCUACAUACGUGCUGAUCUCGUUGUAAAGAGACGUUCGCUCACCCCUCGGCUCCAGGAAGAAGGGCUUUGUCACUGAGGAGCUCUGGGGGGUCCUCCUCAUCCGAUGAACCGGCACUAGACGACUCCUCAUCGCUGUCUGCCAGACAGUAUGUCCGUGGCCUGGACCUGUCUCACACACACACACACACACACACACUCAGGCUCUAUUGGCUUUGCACAGGCCUAUUAACACUUCAAACUAAUUAUUAUUAAAUGCAUCCCGACUGAUUUAAGUCACAGGAUACUGUAAUCCAGAUAUAUGGGCAAACACUCCCAAACUCACCAGCCAUUGGACAAAUCCACAGAGAUAUGCGUCCAGGGAGAGGAUUCGUAUAUCAAGAGAAGGAAAAGAGGUCCAACAGAAACAUGGUGGAGAAUUAUGAAACUAAUUAAUGCAAAUCUACUCAAUUAACGUCCAAUCCUUCAAUCAUCCUAUUUUGGCCUAUAGUCACUGAGAAUGUAUUAUUAUUAUUAUUAUUAUAAGACAAUGACAAAAACAAAUACAAACAACAACUCGGUAAGAUAUUUUAAAAUCAGUUCCACUACUAAAUGUGAUUGAAAGCCUCACCCCUCCUUCCCGUGCUCCCCGAGGCCCUCGCCCUCCUUCCCCAGGCGGGCCAGGUUCAUCUUGGUCUGCAGCGUCAUGAGGAAGGAGCCCGUGUAGGAGACCUCCAGAUCAAACCACAGCCCUGGACACACGGUGUGCACGGUGUGCAGAUUGGAUGGACUACCAUGCAGUGGGAGUCUGGCUCCAUCAUCAAAGGAAUGUCAAUCUGUCCAAUGUUUUGGUUAUGACCAAAUAUCUCAUAUGUAAAACUGAUGACAUUCCUAUCCGCCUCAGCUACGCUGUGAAGUAGCACACGUUGACGUGCUAACAUGCUAACCUAAUAGAGCUCAAUUAAACAUGACGCAACAUUGAUGAUGUUCACGCUGUACAGAAACCCAACCCUAUUUCAUGAUCGCCUAGUAGAACUGAUUAUCAAUAUCUAGUUACUGAAUACAAAUGUAUAUUAAAUG